rnacentral:misc_RNA from 1 species
AAGAGAGAUCUAAUUAUUUUGCUUUAAUUUAUUACCCAAAACCUUCAUUGGUUGCAACUCCCUUGGUCCUUUGUUGUUCCUAUAAAAACUGGACUACUGGUCUUUUUUACCCUUAUAGAAAUUCAUCUUAUCUCCCAAAGCUGGUAGUUGUCAUCAUAUUCUCAAAGUCUUUCUAAUCAAUCAAAGCAAAAUAAUUAGAUCUCUCUUCUACCCAAAACCCCUCUCCUACCAGAAGCGAAACAACAGAGAAUGAGCUAUUACAACCAGAACCAGCCUCCUGUUGGUGUUCCUCCUCCUCAAGGUUAUCCACCAGAAGGGUAUCCUAAGGACGCGUAUCCCCCGCCGGGAUAUCCCGCACAAGGAUAUCCUCCUCAAGGUUA